ACACCGAUGGUGAAAACGGUUGUGAUGCUUGCCUUCUAUGACACUCGAAAAAUUGUGGUGAGCAAGCGUCAGGGGAUUGACUCUCUUUCGGUGUG